rnacentral:rRNA from 1 species
GCUGGUCCGAGAGGACGAUCAGCCACACUGGAACUGAGACACGGUCCAGACUCCUACGGGAGGCAGCAGUGAGGAAUUUUCCGCAAUGGGCGAAAGCCUGACGGAGCGACGCCGCGUGUGGGAUGAAGGCCUUCGGGUCGUAAACCACUGUCGAAGGGGACGAUAAUGACGGUACCUGAUGAAUAAGCCACGGCUAACUACGUGCCAGCAGCCGCGGUAAUACGUAGGUGACGAGCGUUGUCCGGAUUUACUGGGCGUAAAGAGCGCGCAGGCGGUCGUACAAGUCGAGUGUGAAAUCCCCCGGCUCAACUGGGGAACGUCGCUCGAUACUGUUCGACUUGAAGGCGGGAGAGGGAAGCGGAAUUCCCGGCGUAGUGGUGAAAUGCGUAGAUAUCGGGAGGAACACCAGUGGCGAAGGCGGCUUUCUGGCCCGUUCUUGACGCUGAGGCGCGAAAGCUAGGGUAGCAAACGGGAUUAGAUACCCCGGUAGUCCUAGCCGUAAACGAUGGACACUAGGUGUUGGUGGUAUCAACCCCGCCAGUGCCGAAGCUAACGCAUUAAGUGUCCCGCCUGGGGAGUACGGCCGCAAGGCUAAA